ACUCCAUCCGUCGAUCACUCUUAUUAAUAACUUGUUCUUCUCAUCGACCAGUUGCUGGUUAAUUUCCUAAGUAUGGGUAGAGUCAUGGCGGGUGGUGUGGUGGUUGACGAGCAGAAGUCGUCGUGGCCGGAACUGGUAGGGCUGAACUCCGUGCUGGCGGUGAUCAAGAUCCACGGCGACCGGCCGGACGUGGUGGUGGAGUUCCACACCGCCGGGGAGAACGUGCCGCCGGGCUUCGACGGCCACCGCGUGCGACUCUUCCUCGCUCCCGGCACCGCCGACGUCGCCCAGACGCCCGUCGUCGGCUAGGCGCCUGUACUCUGUAGUACUUGCCACUUAUAUGGAAUAAGUCAUAUUGUAAUAGUAAUCCGUCCGUAGUACUUGCCCCUUAUAUGGAAUAAUAUGCGUGCAUGCAUAUAUGACAUGUUCUCGAUUA